AGGUUACUGCUAUCGAGGUUCGACUAAGCCAUGCAAGUCGAAUGUAGCAAUACAUGGCGAACUGCUCAGUAACACGUGGACAACCUGCCCUUAGGUUAGGUAUAAACCCGGGAAACUGGGUAUAAUACCCGAUAGGUCUCGAUUGCUGGAAUGCAUCGAGAUUUAAAGCCCCGGCGCCUAAGGAUGGGUCUGCGGCCUAUCAGGUAGUAGUGGGUGUAGCGUACCUACUAGCCUACGACGGGUACGGGUUAUGAGAGCAAGAGCCCGGAGAUGGAUUCUGAGACACGAAUCCAGGCCCUACGGGGUGCAGCAGGCGCGAAAACUUUACAAUGCUGGCAACAGCGAUAAGGGAACCUCGAGUGCCAGGUUACAAAUCUGGCUGCCGAGAUGCCUAAAAAGCAUUUCAUAGCAAGGGCCGGGCAAGACCGGUGCCAGCCGCCGCGGUAACACCGGCGGCUCGAGUGGUAACCGUUAUUAUUGGGUCUAAAGGGUCUGUAGCCGGCCGGAUAAGUCUCUUGAGAAAUCUGGCAGCUUAACUGUCAGGCUUUCAGGAGAUACUGUCUGGCUCGAGGCCGGGAGAGGUGAGAGGUACUUCAGGGGUAGGGGUGAAAUCUUGUAAUCCUUGAAGGACCACCAGUGGCGAAGGCGUCUCACCAGAACGGACCUGACGGCAAGGGACGAAAGCUAGGGGCACGAACCGGAUUAGAUACCCGGGUAGUCCUAGCCGUAAACGAUACUCGCUAGGUGUCGGCCACGGUGCGACCGUUGUCGGUGCCGUAGGGAAGCCGUGAAGCGAGCCACCUGGGAAGUACGGCCGCAAGGCUGAAACUUAAAGGAAUUGGCGGGGGAGCACCACAACGGGUGGGGCUUGCGGUUUAAUUGGAUUCAACGCCGGAAAUCUUACCGGGACCGACAGCAAUACGAAGGCCAGGCUGAAGACUUUGCCGGAUUAGCUGAGAGGUGGUGCAUGGCCGUCGUCAGUUCGUACUGUGAAGCAUCCUGUUAAGUCAGG
rnacentral:rRNA from 1 species